rnacentral:rRNA from 1 species
UGGCGGACGGGUGAGUAACGCGUGGGUAACCUGCCAUAUACAGGGGGAUAACACUUAGAAAUAGGUGCUAAUACCGCAUAAGCGCACAAGGGCGCAUGCCCCGGUGUGAAAAACUCCGGUGGUAUAUGAUGGACCCGCGUCUGAUUAGCCAGUUGGCAGGGUAACGGCCUACCAAAGCGACGAUCAGUAGCCGGCCUGAGAGGGCGGACGGCCACAUUGGGACUGAGACACGGCCCAAACUCCUACGGAAGGCAGCAG